UAACCAAGCCUUGUUCAUUCAAAUAAUUAUUACAUAAUUUCUAUCAUAAUAAAAACUUUGUUAAAAAUGAAAUAAAACAAUUUAAAAAUUAUUUUUAGUUAUCUUUUCAAGAUAAGGUCCCAUGCAAUCUUUUUUCUCUAAAAUAUUGGCUUCCUUUUCAUGGACUCACAUUAAACAACCUUUCCAACUCCCAGUUAUCUUAAAAUAACAAGGGCCUCUUACGAGUAGAUGUAGCUUUUCAUAUUUUUUUCUUCUUAGUGUCCUUUCUUAUUGAAUUUUCCCCAUAACUGGAGAAUAUAUAUAAAGAUCAUAUUUUCUCAGUUUACAGAUGUGAAGUCAGUGACUAUAGCUUUCUAGAUGUGGGUACAAAAGCUCUAAAUAAUAAAUAGCCAGAUGAGCUGGGGACAUUGAGAAAUAGCCUUUCUCUUCCUUUUUUAACUCAUUCUUUUCCACUCAUAUGACUGUAAAUAAAAUAUUUAAUAGCUCUUACUUUAAAAAAAAUAGACACAACGAGUUUCUUGAUUGGUAUGCUCAUUUACCUUCAUUGUCAGGGGAGAAGUUAGAUUACACAAGGUAAAAAAGAAUUUAUUUUUUUCUUUGUUUUGAUAGAUUGAGCCAUGCUUGAAUUUUCUUAUACUUCAAAGUAUCAUGAAAAUAUUUUUUGCUGCUCUGGUAUUGUGGAAUUUUGAUAUUUAAAUAAAUGGCAUAACUAAAUGUUCCAAUGUUUUUACAAUAUCUCUAGGCUGAUAGUUACCGACCUUAUAAUAUCUAAGAUGUAGAGGAAAACUGGAAUCAAUUAAUCUUUUGCUAUGUUAUCAACACUAGAUCAACCAUCUGGGUUUCUUGAAAAUACCUGAAGGAUUGAAUUUUGCUUCAGUUUUGAUAAUGGCACAGCCUAUAUCUGCUACAUGGAAUUACAUCCUUUGCCCUUCUGGUGCCCUGCUUGUUGAUAAAUACAAGAUGUCAAUUUGAGUUAGUAUUGCACUGGAAAAUAUAGAAUGUGGGUUAAUCAUCUGAAAGGAUACUUAACAGCCAUGAGACUUCACAACUGACAACUGCUUACUUCAUAGUCCAUGCUGAAAACAGUAAUCCAGUAUUUCCUUAUUAAUGAAAUUCCCAUCCUUAAGGAACUCAUUGGUGGAGGAGAGGAACCAAUAUACCCACGAUUACACACAGGAUCACAUAGGAGGACCCAGUAACCCAGACUUACGGGGGUCAGGAGAGGAUUCCUGAAGGAAGUGGCUUAUUCCCUGAGUGUAUGGUGAAUGCCGCUAUUCCAAGUCAUGGAAUAAAACUAGAACAAAGUUGUUUCUGUGGAAAGGGAAAUAUGGCAGCAACAAACAAAAAUGAUAGGACAUGGCUCUGACAGGUGACAAUCCAGGAGGAUAAUUCUGGAGUGCCGUAUCUGAUUCUUGGGAAACUAGAGGAUGUCUUCGUCGCCCUAGCCCACUGCGUCACCACCCCUCUGGUUGCAACACAGAAGCUUUUUGGGAAGUGAUACUAACAAGAAUCAGAUUUUCCUGGACCGGUAACAGAGGAAACAACUUCUGGCACAGUAAUUCUUUGAACUGGAACCAUGAGGGCAAGUAC